GGAUUAGAUACCCUGGUAAUCCUAGCCGUAAACGAUGGGCACUAAGUAGGGGGCCUCCCAAGGGUUCCCUGCCGUAGCUAAUGUGUUAAGUGCCCCGCCUGGGGAGUAUGGUCGCAAGGCUAAAACUCAAAGGAAUUGACGGGGGCUCACACAAGCGGUGGAGCAUGUUGUUUAAUUCGAGACAACGCGAAGAACCUUACCUGGGUUUGACAUGCACGGAUUAACUCUGUGAAAGCAGAGCCACGCCCGCAAGGGUGGAACGUGCACAGGUGCUGCAUGGCUGUCGUCAGCUCGUGUUG
rnacentral:rRNA from 1 species